GCUCAAUCAGGCAAUCAAAUCAUUUCAAGAAGAAAUGCGGAGUGGAGUUAAAAAGAAGUAACACACGAAGAAGGGAAAGAGUAAGAAGAGUAUCUCACAUGUCAAUUCAAUGAAAUUUCAGCACAUAGACAAACAUAUAUGUAAUAAUGUAUAGCAAAGAUUGCUGCUACAAUCACCAAGGAUUUUCUCUUCUUUAGGUCAUAUAUCCAUGAUAGCCAAAAAUUUUAAUAAACAAGUUAACACAUGCAUAGUUAAGACCUUAGGAAACAAUGAUCACCCUACCAAUCAUUAUUAAUCAAAAAAUGACAACAAAAGUAUAGAAGAAAAUAAACAGUGACUGCCAGUAAGAAUUUGUUUUUAUCCCAGAA
rnacentral:misc_RNA from 1 species